rnacentral:rRNA from 12 species
GUGCUACAAUGGUCGGUACAAAGGGUUGCCAAGCCGCGAGGUGGAGCUAAUCCCAUAAAACCGAUCGUAGUCCGGAUCGCAGUCUGCAACUCGACUGCGUGAAGUCGGAAUCGCUAGUAAUCGUGAAUCAGAAUGUCACGGUGAAUACGUUCCCGGGCCUUGUACACACCGCCCGUCACACCAUGGGAGUUGGUUUUACCUGAAGACGGUGCGCUAACCGAAAGGGGGCAGCCGGCCACGGUAGGGUCAGCGACUGGGGUGAAGUCGGAACAAGGUAGCCGUAGGGGAAC